rnacentral:rRNA from 1 species
GACGAACGCUGGCGGCGUGCUUAACACAUGCAAGUCGAACGAUGAAGCGGGUGCUUGCACUCGUGGAUUAGUGGCGAACGGGCGAGUAACACGUGAGUAACCUGUCCUUUUCUUUGGGAUAACGGCUGGAAACGGCUGCUAAUACUGGAUAUUCAGGCUGCAUCGCAUGGUGUGGUUUGGAAAGGUGUUUUCUGGGAUUGGGUGGGCUCGCGGCCUAUCAGCUUGUUGGUGGGGUGAUGGCUUACCAAGGCUUUGACGGGUAGCCGGCCUGAGAGGGUGGUCGGUCGCACUGGGACUGAGAUACGGCCCAGACUCCUACGGGAGGCAGCAGUGGGGAAUAUUGCACAAUGGACGAAAGUUUGAUGCAGCGACGCCGCGUGGAGGGUGUAGGCCUUCGGGUUGUGAACUCCUUUUUCUCGCGAAAAAGGCACAGUUUUGGCUGUGUUGAUGGUAGUGGGGGAAGAAGCGCCGGCUAACUACGUG